rnacentral:lncRNA from 1 species
UGAAUUCAGUUAAAAUCUACCACCUAGGUGUACCCUUUCAAUUCUGUCAAUUCCUGAUAUCCGUCAAUUCCUAAUAAUUCGUCAAUUCCUGAUAAUCCGUCAAUUCCCCUGGCAGGUCUCGAUGACAGAAAGUCAACCCGAGCUGCAAACUGGCAGGAUUCAGGGGACCGUAGUCAGCCUGAUCUGCAUUCCUGGCUCCCACGG